ACAGCUGUUCCCCAGCCUGGUAGUGAACCCAGAGGCCUGUCUUGCUGUGCGGUGAGACAGGAAGUUGCAUUUGGGAGUCUCAUAGAACACACUGAAAGAUGUGUUUUAGCUUGGCCAGGUUCAUGCAGGACAGAUUUUCUGCAUAAAGAAAAUCAAUGACAGUUUCUGAAACUGCAUCCUGGAAACCUUGACCAGUUUGGGGCGAACCUUUCCUACACAUCCAUACUUCUCUGCCCAGCUUGGAGCAGGACAGCUGUCGCUUUACAACAUUUUGAAGGCCUACUCACUUCUAGACCAGGAAGUGGGAUAUUGCCAAGGUCUCAGCUUUGUAGCAGGCAUUUUGCUUCUUCAUAUGAGUGAGGAAGAGGCGUUUAAAAUGCUCAAGUUUCUGAUGUUUGACAUGGGGCUGCGGAAACAGUAUCGGCCAGACAUGAUUAUUUUACAGAUCCAGAUGUACCAGCUCUCAAGGUUGCUUCAUGAUUACCACAGAGACCUCUACAAUCACCUGGAGGAGCACGAGAUCGGCCCCAGCCUCUACGCUGCCCCCUGGUUCCUCACCAUGUUUGCCUCACAGUUCCCGCUGGGAUUCGUAGCCAGAGUCUUUGAUAUGAUUUUUCUUCAGGGAACAGAGGUCAUAUUUAAAGUGGCUUUAAGUCUGUUGGGAAGCCAUAAGCCCUUGAUUCUGCAGCAUGAAAACCUAGAAACCAUAGUUGACUUUAUAAAGAGCACACUACCCAACCUUGGCUUGGUACAGAUGGAAAAGACCAUCAAUCAGGUAUUUGAGAUGGACAUUGCUAAACAGUUACAAGCUUAUGAAGUCGAGUACCACGUCCUUCAAGAAGAACUUAUCGAUUCCUCUCCUCUCAGUGACAACCAAAGAAUGGAUAAAUUAGAGAAAACCAACAGCAGCUUACGCAAACAGAACCUUGACCUCCUUGAACAGUUGCAGGUGGCAAAUGGUAGGAUCCAAAGCCUUGAGGCCACCAUUGAGAAGCUCCUGAGCAGCGAGAGCAAGCUGAAGCAGGCCAUGCUUACCUUAGAACUGGAGCGGAAGGCCCUGCUGCAGACGGUGGAGGAGCUGCGGCGACGGAGCGCAGAGCCCAGCGACCGGCAGCCUGAGUGCACACAGCCCGAGCCCACAGGCUACUGACAGCUCUGCAGGAGAGAUUGCAACACCAUCCCACACUAUCCAGGCCUUAACUGAGAGGGACAGAAGACGCUGGAAGGAGAGAAGGAAGCGGGAAGUGUGCUUCUCAGGGAGGAAACCGGCUUGCCAGCAAGUAGAUUCUUACGAAGUCCAACUUGCAAUUCAGGGGGCAUGUCCCAGUGUUUUUUUUGUUGUUUUUAGAUACUAAAUUGUCCCUUCUUCAGUCCUGAUUACUGUACACAGUAGCUUUAGAUGGCGUGGACGUGAAUAAAUACAACUUAUGUUUUCUUGUUGGUUCCUUUUUGAGUAUCACUGUGUUUGUAAAGAGCAUUCACAAUACUGUGGAAUUUCAAAAGCUGGAAGAGCUCAAGAUCAUUCCUCAGGCAAAGGCGUGGGUCCAUCGUUCUUCCAAGAGGGUUUGUGUGACGACUGCACCCUCAGUGUCACUGGCAAGGUGCAGUUGGCUCUCGCCCAUUCUUGUUAUGGAAACCUAAGAUGAUCAUUGGGAAGAAUUGAAAGUGAUUUAUUUAAUUUGGAUAUCUUGAUCACUGUCAAGUGAAAUUGAUCUCUCUCUUUGGUAUUUAAGGAAGUUUGUCUUUAAAAAAAAAAAAUAGAGUGUUUUCAUACAUUUUUGCUUAUCCCAUAAGUACAGUUGAUCAAAGUCAUAGUAGGUAAAUGCUUUAUGGGACAGUUGACACCUUUUAGACCCUACCAGAUAUUGCUAGCAUGUGAGCUGCAGUUGUGGGGUCUGAGAUAUUUUUUGUGGUAGUUUCAUACCCAUACUAUAGAGUGAUGUAUUUAUUUUUGCCUGUUGUGUGUUGUAAUACAAUCAUGUUCCUUUGAGUCUCCAUCCCUUGGAAAUCUGACUUCUUGCAGAAGGAGUAGGCACAUCAAGAUACUCGGGGUGCCCCAAGAGUCUGGGACUUUCAAAAAAAAAGAUCAGGCUGAAGCUGCAAUCAGAUUUAUGACAGCUGACAAUUUUUCAGAGGUCGCCCACAGUGACUCUCCUCUCUCAGGAUGACGAGGAACUGUGCCUUCAACAAGCAAAAUGCUGCACACGGUUGUCCUGCUUGCAGCCAGUCACUGUGUAAAGCCUCUCUGAUGUGCACUUAAGAGUGGUUUGCUUUCUUACAAAGAUGGGGUUCUGUGCAGUUACAGGUCACUUCCUUGACAACACAGUCAUUUCUGAUCUUUAUCACUGUAACCACUUCUAUUCCAUAGGAGUUUCUUUUGAUUCUCUCAGUUGUGAGGGCAUCUCUUAAUCCUGGGGUAAAAGGAGAGAUUGCCAUACUUAGACUCAUUGUGAGUCUCCCUGGCCAUUUCACGAGGAGACCACAGUGCUGCCACCAGUGCCUAGACCGGUGGCUGGCAUUCGAGACUUCCUCCUGUUCCCUGGGUCAGAGGAUAGCAGUUUCCAUCAUAAACAAAGAUGAUGAGCUCAGCCUUUAUCCCUAGUGGUUCCACUAGAUGUAACUUAAAGGAGUUAACAUUUGAGGACUUUGUUCUACAUCAGAUUUUACUAUUUGAAUGUUUACUGUUGGAUUUUGGGCACCUUACUACUGUUACUCAAAAACAUUGACUCUGCAUCAAGAAAGAAACAAGAAAGCAAUAAAACAAGAAAUAAUUCAUGCUCACAUU
rnacentral:sRNA from 1 species